rnacentral:rRNA from 1 species
AUUGAACGCUGGCGGCAUGCCUUACACAUGCAAGUCGAACGGCAGCGGGGACUUCGGUCCGCCGGCGAGUGGCGAACGGGUGAGUAAUGUAUCGGAACGUACCUUUCAGUGGGGGAUAACGUAGCGAAAGUUACGCUAAUACCGCAUAUUCUCUGAGGAGGAAAGCAGGGGACCUUCGGUCCUUGCGCUGAUGGAGCGGCGGAUAUCAGAUUAGCUAGUUGGUGGGGUAAAGGCUCACCAAGGCUACGAUCUGUAGCGGGUCUGAGAGGAUGAUCCGCCACACUGGGACUGAGACACGGCCCAGACUCCUACGGGAGGCAGCAGUGGGGAAUUUUGGACAAUGGGCGAAAGCCUGAUCCAGCCAUGCCGCGUGAGUGAAGAAGGCCUUCGGGUUGUAAAGCUCUUUCGGACGGGAAGAAAUCAUGAGGGCUAAUAUCCCUUGUGGAUGACGGUACCGUAAUAAGAAGCACCGGCUAACUACGUGCCAGCCGCCGCCGUAA